rnacentral:snoRNA from 1 species
GUGGCGAUGAUCUGUACCCCGAUUUCCAGAGGUCUGCCUUCGGGCGCUUUGGCGGGGUGGGUGUCGAUGGAAGUCUGACGCGC